rnacentral:lncRNA from 1 species
GCACAUCAUAUCAGCGGCAUAAUGGAAAAUAUUCAAUUUAGUAGUAUUAGUAAAAGUGGCUGUAAAGUAGAAUAUUUGCCCUACGUCUGGUUGCCAAGAAGGUGGAGGACGAAGAAGAUAAAUCAGGUAUUGCGGUUCAUAUACGAAUCUCGGAAUUCUCAAAUCGUUUCGUUUAGUGCAAAUAACCUUAAAAACCAAUUUUUUGGGGUCACAGUUUUGAUGGUAGACAAGAACGCUCUACAAUUUGAAAGUGCUUUCCUUUUCGUAUUAAUUAUAUAUCCGCAGUUUGUUCUCUGAUGCCUGGUGUGUGAUAUUACUUCUGUUUUGAAUUUUGCAGCAAUUUGAAUUCGGAUCUUCACACAUUAAAAGAUGGUACCUUUAACAUAAUUGCUAUAGAUAUUAGGGUUUUUAUUUUUCAUUAAUAUUGUUUUUUGGUUUGAUUAUGAAACUGCAGAAUGAUUUAUCCCUGCCUUGAUUUUUUUUUUCUGUCUCAGCUCCCACUCUCUCUGCUCAAGACUGCACAGGGGCAUCCCAUGGUAUCUCUCUCUCCCUCUGUUUGUGCGUGCGUGUGUGUUCAUGUCUGUGUUAUAUGUCUCUUAACUGCAGAAACAACAACAACUACUACGCUUCAAGCCCAAACUUGUUGGGUUCACCUAUAUGCUUCCUUGGUAUCUUUCUUUUUUUUCAAACAUUGAUACCUAUUAUGUUCUAUUUCGACCUUUUUCAUUCCAAUGCCCAAUAAUGUGUCUUUUGAAAACACAUUAGGGUUGUCUAGAAUUUGCCCCAAGGGCUUAAGUCAAGUGACAAAGUUUGAGGGACUUAUGACUUAGGUCACAG